GAGAGCUUGUAGGUUUCUUGACUUAAUCAUUCUGGAAUUAAGGUAAUGGAUCCUCAACACCUUUUCUUUCCCUGGCCUUUACUAACCAUGUAACAGAAAUGAGCAGAGAAAACCCAAGAAAGCGAACUGGAGACUUGAUGAGUGUGUCAAAGAUGCUCAGAGUCCAAGGUCCUCUGUGGCUCACUGACUUCAGAAGCCAACCUCCGUUGUUCAAGUCACUUGUGAGGUUACUAUGCUAGAGCACUAAAUAUUAUCCAGAUAGCCCAAAGAGGUGAAGGCAGACAUGUGGAAGAACCUGGAUUUUUGGGCAAGUUGAUGAAUGCCUCCUGCCCCAUAUCAAAGAGAGGUGAUAGGAGACAACUUUGUGAAUUUGAAAUAAUGCACCGGGGAAACAGGAAAACGUAAUACAAAAUCCCACCAGGAUAGAGAGAAUAGGAGAGGAGAUAACAGCAUCAUAAUUUAUGAAACUAAAAUGCAGAUAGACCAGGAUUAACUGACUACACAGCACCAAGGAAGCUGAAUCACAAGACAGCAGAGGAGAAAACUGGAAAGGAUCGUGGUCUAUACGGCAGAAUCUUCCCAAGCCUCAGGAGGAGGAGCUCUAGAUGUUCCCAGAUCUGGGAGGCAUCUGCCUGUCCCCCACCCUGGAAGAGGUCUGGCUUGACCCUUUGUCUGGUGAAUUUCCUGCUCUGCUUUCCUGGUCCUGCUGGCCGGAUCAGUGGAGGCCACUCACUUCACCCCACAGGGAUGUUCUGUGUUGCCCUACACCUGGGAACUGGAGGUACUGGAGGCAGGCUGUGGUGAGCUUGAAAGCAAAACACAGAGGGCAGUCCAAUCUCUUUGGCCAUAUUUCUUCUGCAUAUCCAAUACCAUGUCCACAACUCUGCUAGUGUCCUGAUGGUGGUGGGCUCUACACAUUCCCGGGAAGCUGAAGGCAGAUAAUGACCAGGACAGGUCAACCUCUCUUCUUCUGAAAGCCUUCAUCUACUAAUGGCCUGGGACUCUUCCCUUAAAUGCUUAGAUUGUGUCUUCCACUAAGGUUUUUUGCUGUUGCUGUUGUUUGUUUGUUUGUUUGUUUGUUUGUUUUGAGACGGAAUCUCACUCUGUCG
rnacentral:lncRNA from 1 species